GUGACCCUCUAUCAAUCACUAGCAGCUGCUCUAUAAAACACAGUAAAACUGCUGGUUGUUGAUGUUGCUAAAUUCUAAGCUUCGCACGACUCCCUGUAAAUGUUCACAGUAGCUGACAUCAGGGAAGCACAUUAAUAGAUACCCAUCACUUCCUGCUGCAAAUAUGUCAGUAAAUGACACUUGUCCAAGUUACUCCGGAGAGGUUGAGCAGGGAGGGUGUGUUUCGGUGGUGGUGGCACUUCCUGUUUUGCUGAGCGGAGAGGACAUGUGGAGGAUAUGGGGAAGUGCUGCAUGCUCCCUGUGCGUGUGUGAUAUUAGAACAUCAUUUCGAAUGAUAUCGAAGGUCAUUUUGCUGAAUUGGUUGAAGGGCUUCUGACCUGGAUGACUUUUCUUAAUAAAAACAGGAAUUGAGUGUGCAUCAUUGAAUCCCUCGUACUGUAGGUGUUCACCAUGUGAGGUGUCCAGGAACAUCCAUUAAACUGAGAGAAUUUCUGCUCUUUCUUUAUUUGAGGUUCAUGAGGUGUGGGAUGUGUGGAAACUAAGAAAGAAAACAUAAAGUAGAGGCAGGUGAUGCAUGCCACAGCCUGUUAGAAAAAAAACAUAGAAGUAUAACAGUAAUACACAUUAAUAAAGUAUUAAAUUAAGUAUUAAAGGUACAUUCUGUAGGAACUGAGAGUGAGCAUGUGAAAUGGCUACAGCAGUCCAAUUUCAAAACACCACAGAGAGUAGUCUGCCCCGCACAAUCUACAUAAAGUUUUGAGCAGUAGGAGAGGCAGAGAACUUAGAGUACGAGCAAGAGAAGAAAUACAGCAAUUCUAAACUCUUCUAUCACGCGUAUUUAGCGUUAUAUUGACUGUAUUUUACACAAUGGAGCUACGUGGUCAGCUGUGCCCCGCGCAAGGGUGUCAGGUCUUUUGUCUGUCAGCUUCUCAUGUCUGUGUUAUUCUCAGGUCUGUGUUUCAUUCCCAGUGUUUCCUGUUCCCUGUGUGUGUGCACCUCUAUUUAAGGUCCGUGUUCCAUUUCCCCGGUGUCGAUCCUUGUACGUUUAUCGUCUGUCAGUGCUCCAUGUUUGCCCCAGUUUCCUCAGUCCAGUUUUCAGUAAAUCCAUGUGUAUUUUGUAUUUGUUAUCGUUAAUAAAUCCCUUUUUGUUUG